CGCUGGCGGCGUGCCUAAUACAUGCAAGUCGAGCGAACAGACGAGGAGCUUGCUCCUCUGACGUUAGCGGCGGACGGGUGAGUAACACGUGGAUAACCUACCUAUAAGACUGGGAUAACUUCGGGAAACCGGAGCUAAUACCGGAUAAUAUAUUGAACCGCAUGGUUCAAUAGUGAAAGACGGUUUUGCUGUCACUUAUAGAUGGAUCCGCGCCGCAUUAGCUAGUUGGUAAGGUAACGGCUUACCAAGGCAACGAUGCGUAGCCGACCUGAGAGGGUGAUCGGCCACACUGGAACUGAGACACGGUCCAGACUCCUACGGGAGGCAGCAGUAGGGAAUCUUCCGCAAUGGGCGAAAGCCUGACGGAGCAACGCCGCGUGAGUGAUGAAGGUCUUCGGAUCGUAAAACUCUGUUAUUAGGGAAGAACAAAUGUGUAAGUAACUAUGCACGUCUUGACGGUACCUAAUCAGAAAGCCACGGCUAACUACGUGCCAGCAGCCGCGGUAAUACGUAGGUGGCAAGCGUUAUCCGGAAUUAUUGGGCGUAAAGCGCGCGUAGGCGGUUUUUUAAGUCUGAUGUGAAAGCCCACGGCUCAACCGUGGAGGGUCAUUGGAAACUGGAAAACUUGAGUGCAGAAGAGGAAAGUGGAAUUCCAUGUGUAGCGGUGAAAUGCGCAGAGAUAUGGAGGAACACCAGUGGCGAAGGCGACUUUCUGGUCUGUAACUGACGCUGAUGUGCGAAAGCGUGGGGAUCAAACAGGAUUAGAUACCCUGGUAGUCCACGCCGUAAA
rnacentral:rRNA from 1 species